ACCCAGACUCCUACGGGAGGCAGCAGUGAGGAAUAUUGGUCAAUGGGCGGGAGCCUGAACCAGCCAAGUCGCGUGAAGGAAGAAGGUACUUAGUAUUGUAAACUUCUUUUGUCGGGGAACAAAGGCGGAGACGCGUCUCCGGAUGAGUGUACCCGAAGAAAAAGCAUCGGCUAACUCCGUGCCAGCAGCCGCGGUAAUACGGAGGAUGCGAGCGUUAUCCGGAUUUAUUGGGUUUAAAGGGUGCGCAGGCGGGAGAUCAAGUCAGCGGUAAAAUGUCGGGGCUCAACCCCGGCCGGCCGUUGAAACUGGGGAUCUAGAGUGUGCGAGAGGUAUGCGGAAUGCGUGGUGUAGCGGUGAAAUGCAUAGAUAUCACGCAGAACCCCGAUUGCGAAGGCAGCAUACCGGUGCACAACUGACGCUCAGGCACGAAAGCGUGGGUAUCGAACAGGAUUAGAUACCCGCGUAUG
rnacentral:rRNA from 1 species